ACUUAAAUAAUUUAAUAAUAAAAUAUUGAUUUGUGGUAUCAAAUAUAUGAUUUUUCAUUUUAAGUC
rnacentral:tRNA from 1 species